GGCCAAGUUUUUAAGGGCGCACGGUGGAUGCCUUGGCACCAGGAACCGAUGAAGGACGUGGGAGGCCACGAUAGUCCCCGGGGAGUCGUCAACCAGGCUUUGAUCCGGGGGUUUCCGAAUGGGGAAACCCGGCAGUCGUCAUGGGCUGUCACCCGCUGCUGAACUCAUAGGCAGUGUGGAGGGAACGCGGGGAAGUGAAACAUCUCAGUACCCGCAGGAAGAGAAAACAACCGUGAUUCCGGGAGUAGUGGCGAGCGAAACUGGAUGAGGCCAAACCGUAUGUGUGUGAUACCCGGCAGGGGUUGCGCAUGCGGGGUUGUGGGAUCUCUCUUCUACGGUCUGCCGGCCGUGGGACGAGUCAGAAACCGUUGAUGUAGGCGAAGGACAUGCGAAAGGUCCGGCGUAGAGGGUAAGACCCCCGUAGUCGAAACAUCAGCGGCUCGUUUGAGAGACACCCAAGUAGCACGGGGCCCGAGAAAUCCCGUGUGAAUCUGGCGGGACCACCCGCUAAGCCUAAAUAUUCCCUGGUGACCGAUAGCGGAUAGUACCGUGAGGGAAUGGUGAAAAGUACCGCGGGAGCGGAGUGAAAUAGUACCUGAAACCGUGUGCCUACAAGCCGUGGGAGCGUCGCGCAUCGAGCUUGCUCGGUGCGUCGUGACUGCGUGCCUUUUGAAGAAUGAGCCUGCGAGUUAGCGGUGUGUAGCGAGGUUAACCCGUGUGGGGAAGCCGUAGCGAAAGCGAGUCCGAAGAGGGCGUUUGAGUUGCACGCUCUAGACCCGAAGCGGAGUGAUCUAGCCAUGGGCAGGUUGAAGCGGCUGUAAGAGGUCGUGGAGGACCGAACCCACCAGGGUUGAAAACCUGGGGGAUGACCUGUGGUUAGGGGUGAAAGGCCAAUCAAACUCCGUGAUAGCUGGUUCUCCCCGAAAUGCAUUUAGGUGCAGCGUCGUGUGUUUCUUGCCGGAGGUAGAGCACUGGAUAGGCGAUGGGCCCUACCGGGUUACUGACCUUAGCCAAACUCCGAAUGCCGGUAAGUGAGAGCGCGGCAGUGAGACUGUGGGGGAUAAGCUCCAUGGUCGAGAGGGAAACAGCCCAGAGCAUCGACUAAGGCCCCUAAGCGUACGCUAAGUGGGAAAGGAUGUGGAGUCGCAGAGACAACCAGGAGGUUGGCUUAGAAGCAGCCACCCUUGAAAGAGUGCGUAAUAGCUCACUGGUCUAGUGAUUCCGCGCCGACAAUGUAGCGGGGCUCAAGCGUACCGCCGAAGUCGUGUCAUUGCAGCAAUACUCCCAACGGAGGCUGUGAUGGGUAGGGGAGCGUCGUGUGCCGGGUGAAGCAGCCGUGGAAGCGAGUUGUGGACGGUUCACGAGUGAGAAUGCAGGCAUGAGUAGCGAUUCACACGUGAGAAACGUGUGCGCCGAUUGACUAAGGGUUCCUGGGUCAAGCUGAUCUGCCCAGGGUAAGUCGGGACCUAAGGCGAGGCCGACAGGCGUAGUCGAUGGAUAACCGGUUGAUAUUCCGGUACCCGCUGUGAAGCGUCAAACAUUGAAUCCAGUGAUGCUAAGCCCGUGAAGCCGUUCCGGACCCUUCGGGGAAUGGAAAGUGGUGGAGCCGGUGG
rnacentral:rRNA from 1 species